AAUGAGGUGAGUUGUUUUCUCUACUAAUCAGAAACUGCUGGUAUUUUUCUAGCUUGAAAUGUGUACAUGUUAAUGUGGGUAAGCUGAAUAGUAAGACUUUGAUAAUCAUUUUGUUUUUAGAGUUUCUGUCGACCUGUGUGUUCUCUGCAUACAGUUUUGAAACAGUAGAGUAGAAUUCAAAUUACUUCAGUGUAGUUUUGAAAAGUAAAUGCCCAUUUUUAACAUUAGCCCCAUUUAUUGUCCUAUUUUUGUAUAAAGCCUCAUUAUAAUGCCUUGGAAAUGCAAGUACUGCCCUGUCAUCUGUGAGAAGAGAACACAGCUUAUCAAACAUUGUCAGCUAAAACAUGGAACUUCUGCCAGAACUGAACUCUUUCUUGCUUAUACCAGGAAUGUAUGUGUACAUUUAAGUCUCUCAAUGCACUCCAUAGCUAUUUAUUCUGCUUUCACAUCAUAAAUGUGGGUCAAAUGCAAACUGUAGACUCUACAAUUAAGUUUUGCUGUUUGUCAUGGUAAUUUUUUCUCAUGACAAAUGUAUUUUUUUCAUAUUUUUCAGGUUUACUUGGAGUUUAACAGGGUUGAAAUCUUCAAGAAAAAUUCUUUCUAAUUUCAUGGAAAUCUUCAAGAGGAAGAUGGUUCAGAGAGGCAAGCAGUUAGCUGACCUGCUACAACAGACAACGAGCACUGAGCCAACAGCCAUUAGAAGCCUUGUCCUGAGAGGACUUCCAGUCAUUCUUAGGGACGAUGCAUCCAUGUUCUUUCAGAGCAAUUUGAAUCUUAAUGAGGGAGACUCUGUGGACAUUCCAGUGGCAUUACUCUGCUAUGAGGACAACAGCGCUGCAAGCCCAGCAUCACCACAACUAUUCCCUUCAUGAGUGGGAAUCAUCCUAGAGGGCAGCCCUGUAAUGGACACACUCACCAACCUACCUCAAGCAAUGUGCCUCUUGUUUGGCUUUACCUCCACACUCCACCUGCACUACACCUUUACCUUCAUUCAGCAGGUCAUCAUAAAUUCAGCCUCCAAAGACUCAAAAGCUGAAGAAUGAGCUUGCAGUGCAAGGUGCAACUCUUCAAGCCCAUGUCUGGAUUAUUGCACAGUUAUAUUCACUGACUGAAACAAAUAUUCAUGCUGUUGUUCAUUUUGUAUGUGAUUCCUCUUGUACAAGAUGCAUCUAGUAUUGUUUAUUUUACUAAAAUGAAUCCACAGAGGACAUAUUUUAGAAAGUUGCAGUUUUUUUUAACCCAUUCUUGUCCUCACUGCAUGUUCUUAUUGCUGCUGUUCUUAAUGCCUGUUUGUUAUGUCGCACACAAAGCAUACAGGCUUUUCCUUGUGUACUUGCAGUACAGUGUCAAGUCCACCUCUCUUUCCCUCCAAAGGACGCGAGGACAACUCAAUUUAAAUUUCCAACUCAAAACUUUAUUUUCCUUCUAGUUGGUUGGUCAGAGUAUUUCAAUGGGUUGUAAACCUUUAAAGACAGAGAAACAACAUUCAUAACAUCAAAUACAGAACCAAAAAGUUGACAUAUUAGUCUCUUAACCAUUUAAAUCAACCAAUCAUGCAGUGCAGUUAACAUAAACUUGGCCAUAUAAAGAAACAUUUCAAAUCACCAAAAAAAGCAAAUAAACAUUUCACCAACCAUUGGCGUCUUUGGACUGAAUCCAUGAGUGGACUUGGAUCUUCUUUGUUCUUCCCUCGUGUUUCUCUUCUGAAGAUUGUUUGCCAGACUGGCUGAGCUUCCCCCAGUCCUUCCCAGGUGCUCUAACUCAGUGAACACUGAUCAGGUGUCAAGCACCAGGUGUCAGGUCCCUCCUUGCUGCUACCAGUACAUUCUGGGAAGUGUAGUUUUUUAGGUCCCAUGUCUUCAGAUUCAGCUCAACAGUACAGUAUGCUGCUACAUGAUCAGUGUUUUUUUUCUUCCAAACAGACAAACAAACAGAGCAAACAACUAAAAAACUGUGCUGUCUAUUUGGAAGGAAACUGUUUCAUAACACGUUUUUUGUGUGUUUUGUUUUGUUUUUUUGCGGUAACAUAGAAGGGUUCUGUAAUACGUUAAUAGCAAAAAAUUAAGAUUAUACUGUUGAAACUAUUGACAAAAAUUAAUUUUGGUAAUUUUAUGAAACAAGGUCU